UACGUAGGGUGCAAGCGUUGUCCGGAAUUAUUGGGCGUAAAGAGCUCGUAGGCGGUUUGUCGCGUCUGCUGUGAAAACCCGAGGCUCAACCUCGGGCCUGCAGUGGGUACGGGCAGACUAGAGUGCGGUAGGGGAGAUUGGAAUUCCUGGUGUAGCGGUGGAAUGCGCAGAUAUCAGGAGGAAUACCGGUGGCGAAGGCGGGUCUCUGGGCCGAUAUUGACGCUGAGGUGCGAAAGCGUGGGGAGCAAACAGG
rnacentral:rRNA from 1 species